CGGCCCUCCACGCCCUCCCUCGCUCGCGUCCUGCCCGGCUGCCGCUGUUCGCAUCCUCUCGGUAACUCCGUGGGGUCCCGCCCAUUCGGGCGACUGCCCAGGCUGCAGCCCGCCAGCUAAUCUCGGCUAUCUUCGCACACUCAGUUCUUCGCCUCCACCAGCUUCGGCUCUUUUCGUCACCUCUCUUUACUCCUCGUUCCUCUCCGUCACUUUCCGUCAUCUCCGAUUAGGCUUGGCCCGCUGCAUCUCACCAUUUUGCUUUCCUCUUUGUCGCUCUCUGAUAAAUUUCGUGAAUCUUCGUCACUAUCCGUUAGUCUCCGUCACUUUCCGUCAAUUCUCGCCACUUUCCGUCACUCUCCACCGCCCUUUAGCUCCGCUCGGCUUUUCUCCGCCAGGCAUCGUCUACUUUCGUCACUCUCCGUCACUCUCCGGCUGCUCCCUACCCCGCACUCCAUGGAGAAAGCCUCAGGGACUUUUCCUGCCCUUAGUCCUUUUCCGUCACUCUCCGAUCCUGCUGUCUCUUCAGUCUCUGGUUAUUUCUGGUCUGCCCGUGACUCUGUCCUCCUCCCUUCACUCCCGGGAGAGUGGCCUGGUCUCUCCUGAGAGGCCUCUCCCCUCUACCCGGCCUGACUGAUGGUGAUGGUGUCUCGCUCUGUCAUCUAUCACCCAGGCUGGAGUGCAGUGGUGCGAUCUCGGCUCACUGCAACCUCUGCCUCCCAGGUUCAAGCGAUUCUCGCACCUCAGCCUCCCGGUAGCUGGCAUUGUAGCACGACAAGCCACAGAAAUAUUCCUCAGACACCGGGUUAAAGAAAGAAGGGCUUUCUUCGGCCAGGAGGGUCAGCACCCUUGCGUCUUAAGAGCCCAGCUCCCCGAAAAAGGAAUUCCUGGGCCUUUUAAGGGUUUACGACUCUAAGAGGUUCACAUGAAAGGGUCGUGAUAGAUGGAGCAAGCGUGGGGAAUGUGACUGAGGGCUACAUGCAUCAGAUAACAGUACAGAAAGUUUUUCAGUGCUUCCUCA